CAGCCGCCACGGUAAUACGUAGGGUGCAAGCGUUAAUCGGAAUUACUGGGCGUAAAGCGUGCGCAGGCGGUUUUGUAAGACAGAGGUGAAAUCCCCGGGCUCAACCUGGGAACUGCCUUUGUGACUGCAAGGCUAGAGUACGGCAGAGGGGGAUGGAAUUCCGCGUGUAGCAGUGAAAUGCGUAGAUAUGCGGAGGAACACCGAUGGCGAAGGCAAUCCCCUGGGCCUGUACUGACGCUCAUGCACGAAAGCGUGGGGAGCAAACAGGAUUAGAUACCCGAGUAGUCCCUGUCUCUUAUAC
rnacentral:rRNA from 1 species